UAUAAUGUUUUAACUCUUCGUUUUAUUUAAAAUUUUUUUACGAUUAAUAUUUUUAUUCUUACUAGAUGAUAAAACAUGAAUUGUACUUUAUACGUGGCUAAAUUUUAAAGUUUUUUAACAAAUUUUUCAUAUAAAACGAAUGGUCAAAUGUUGGAUACAGAAAAAC
rnacentral:pre_miRNA from 1 species